AAGACAAACAAACUCACCCCCAUUAUGGAGUUUCGUGACAACCACCUCCACAUCUGCUAAGGAGUGCAUGCUGAUGAGGUCUGCACCCAAGGCUUUGCAUUUCAAACGUGCUGCAUCCCAGGAACUACUUUCAUUCGCCAGCAGAUAGCAAAACCCAUUAUUUGGCAGCCAGCCCACAUGGCAGUGGGUAUCUGUCCCUCAAAUGGUUCGUCCUUGAGUCACAAGCUUCUGGAAAACUGGAAGAUGUGAUGUCAGCUAUCAGUGACAUGAAUUUUAUGCUGUGCUUCUUAUGUAUCUGGCAUUAUAAGAACUCCUGAGGAGAUUCAGGCACGAACUGUCCCUAUUCUGAGACACAUAAGGUCGGAGAUUUGGAGGGUCACCCCCACCCAUGUCUCUGAGACUAGGAAGACUCAAGCCUUCUUUUCCAAUGUGACCGGCUUGAAGCCAAAUGUGUAAAAUAGGCCUUUUGGGGGCUUACAAAGGAGCUUUGUUAAGAACGAAGGAGGGAGGCUCCCAGGACCCAGACAUAAGCAUAUCUCCAAUGGUGGAUGUUUACGCAGAAUGUUGGCAAAUGAAAGAGUCAGCAUCGUGAUCGGGAUAGGAGCGUGGGAGAACAGCCGCCCAGGACACUUGGACUGUCUUGCAGAUGCUUGCCAGCAGAGAGCCUUGGACUGAAGGAACAGUGAGCGAUGACAAGCCUGAUAACUUAUGCCUAAAUUGAGCCACAGAAGAACUCUACAGCUCCUUCAGAAAGGCUACAAUCACCCUAACCCGGAACUGUCCUAGCCUUGGAACUGUCCUAGCCUUGGAACUGUCCUGGACUUGGAACUGUCCUAGCCUGGGAACUAUCCUAGCUUUGGGACUGUCCUAGCCUUGGGACUGCCCUAGCCUUGGGACUGUCCUAGCCUUGGGACUGUCCUAGCCUGGGAAUUAUACUAGCCUUAGGAUUGUCCUAGCGUUGGGGUGCAGGUCAAGCAGCUCAAGGUGGAAAAAUUCUCAGGGUGAAGACAAAUUAGGAAGUGUUCCUGCCUGGGGCAUAUGGGGUUCUCUUUGGAGUUUUAGGGGGACUUGGUUGGUUGUAGGUCCUGAGAAGGGCAGUUAUAUAGGAAAUAUGAUGAGUCCAAACAACCCAAAUCUAUCACCACAUCUAUGUAUUGACAACAACAAUAAACCUCAAAAGAAAUAACUAAGUAGAUGCAAGACAGGUAGAAAGAAAAAGAAAACCCUUUAGGAUUUCGAGGGACUCACUAAAGGGGUCACCUCUUGUUUCUGGAAAUAGAUUCCCAGUGUCAAUCAAUCACUGAUUGCUAAAAAUGAAAGGCUUUUGGGGAAUGAUAUUUUCAUUAUAUACAAAAUAUAUAUCAUAAUAUAUUGUAUAUAACUAAAUACAUAAUAUAUCAUAUAUU
rnacentral:lncRNA from 1 species